GACGAACGCUGGCGGCGUGCCUAAUACAUGCAAGUCGAGCGGACGGAUGGGAGCUUGCUCCCAGACCGUCAGCGGCGGGCGGGUGAGUAACACGUGGGCAACCUGCCUGUAAGACUGGGAUAACUCCGGGAAACCGGGGCUAAUACCGGAUAACUCUUUCCCUCACAUGAGGGAAAGCUGAAAGAUGGCAUCUCGCUAUCACUUACAGAUGGGCCCGCGGCGCAUGAGCUAGUUGGUGAGGUAACGGCUCACCAAGGCGACGAUGCGUAGCCGACCUGAGGGGGUGAUCGGCCACACUGGGACUGAGACACGGCCCAGACUCCUACGGGAGGCAGCAGUAGGGAAUCUUCCGCAAUGGACGAAAGUCUGACGGAGCAACGCCGCGUGAGUGAUGAAGGUUUUCGGACCGUAAAACUCUGUUGUCAGGGAAGAACAAGUACCGGAGUAACUGCCGGUACCUUGACGGUACCUGACCAGAAAGCCACGGCUAACUACGUG
rnacentral:rRNA from 1 species